rnacentral:lncRNA from 1 species
GGUCCUGUUUGGGAAAUGGGGUGUUAAAGUUUAACACCCCACUUUUAACACUUUUAACACUUUCCUAUCCAAACACUUGUGUUAAAAGUGGGUGUUAAAGUUUAACACCCCAUUUUUCAUAAACACAUGGAGGAGGUGUUAAAACUUGCUAAAGGUGUUAAAAGUGGCCCCCUCUCCACUUCUUCCCAGGUUAUCCCUUCUCUCUCCUCCCUCUCUCUCUCUCCGCCAGCCCUAAAUGAGGGGGCAAUGGAGUCAUUUCCCACCAAAAGUGUUAAAGUUUAACACAUCAUCCAAACACCCCAAUGUGUUAAACUUUAGCGCUCUAUUUGAGAGUGUUAAAACUUUAACACUUGUUAAAUUUUAACACAGGGUAUCCAAACAGGCCCU